ensembl:lncRNA
CUUAAGUACAGUAACAAAGUUACUUGACACCUCUAGUAAAUGGACACUUUCACUUCAAGUUCAUGUCCUCAAUUAUGUUAAGCAGCAGCACUUCGGCUUCAGUGUUCACUCAUUACCUCGGAAUCGCAACGAGAAAGUCAUCUCACGGUUGAAGGGAACAUCUCUGUCCCAACUUCCUCUUUUUUUGUGAUGUGAUGAACAGGAAAGAAACUAUUUCACAUCACUGUUAAGUGUAAUACACAUUGACAGAGCACAACUCAGCCCCGAGGUCCCUUUCACAUUUCAGGAUGUUGGUCAACUUCAGAAUACCUUCCUUGGAUCAGAUGAAGUUGAUAAGCCUGAUCGAUUAUACCCUCAUAUUGAUCGUGGCGUCUAAUUCAGAAGGUACAACACAGCUAACUCCCAUCACUCAAGGACAACCAGUGGGAGCAGACCCGGAGAAUGAUCUACUAAAGCAUGUGUCCAUCUCCGUACCAGUUGUUGCCAUUCUGACCAUCAUUGUUGUUGUUGGAAUUGUCCUUGGCAUAAAACACAAAAGGUCAGCAUCCUUUAUCAGGGAGGAUUCAAGAUAUUAUGCUAAUUUCAGCCGAGCAAACCAACUGCAAAGGGAAGCGUCUUGCCAGAAACCAGAGAACAGUAAAGUUUCUGAACAGAAAGACAUUGAGGAACCGGUUUACGCCAACAUUGAGGCCCAUCCAGAUCAGAUGGAUCAAAGUGCGGAUCACUUAGACAACAUAUAUGCCAAUGUGGAUCAUUUAAAACUGUAGGAAAGCUGCGUCUUACAAAUCUAUUCCUAAUCUUUUCGGUUUUAUGGCAUAGAGACUACUUAACAUUCCAAAAGAUAAGAUAACCUGUGUAGGUGUCUACUGUGUGACCGGGAUGAGAGACCUUGUCUGUUUCCAUCCUACUGAUUAAUUUGUGAUUUAAUAUUACUAUAUUGCCGUUUAUUUUUUGUCUUUUGGUCGUUAUAGUGAAUAUGUAACCAUAAUGAAUGGACCGUGUGUAAGUGCUCAGUACAAGGGCUUAAAAUGUGUCUUACUACUGAUUUAAAAAAUAUGGCAGCUUGUUCACAUGUUAAUGCUGUGACAUUUUCCUAACCACAACCAGGAGAAAAUAUCAAGUAUGUCAUUUGCAAAAUCUUAUGACAGGAGUCCUGUUUUCUGUGGAAUGUAUUCAAGUAACCGGCCAGGUUCAACUUGCUGAACAUUUUUUUCUUGCCUUCUUAGUGUUUGUCAAUUCACAUAUUGUGACAUCUGGGCGAGUGCCACACUUCUGUUCUCUUUUCUUCAGUUUCCUGAGAGAUGUUAAUCAGAGAUAAAGCUACUAUUUGUAAUGUCAUUUAACGUAGAACUACAUAGAAAAUGAACUUUCCGAAACAAUAAAAGAUUAGUGCAUGCAUGUCUUUGCUCGUCCACAGUGUUCCACAUUCACCUCGCAACAGUCCUAAUUUCAUUAUUUUUUACUGAGGAGGAGCCUUUCUCGACCUUGCAACAGUGUGCAUACCAGAACAGGCUGAUCAUAUAGUACUUGUCCCAGGACAUGUGUUUUUAAUUUCAUUCAUACUGCAAUUUCUCUUAUGUGACAGACCAACUAGUCAAAUGUUUAUGCCGUAUUUCCAAAUAAUAUUUUACAACUUCUCUUUGUAAAUUGUAUUCAUAGAAUUACAUACAUUUAUUAUCAUUGUAAUUCUUCACUGCUUAAGGCUUAUGUCACAGUUUAUUUAUUAGUUAUUCUGCCUGCUGUUCCAGAGCUUUAAUAAAAGGUCAAAGACCCCUGGAGUCGCGUG